rnacentral:misc_RNA from 1 species
AAUGUAGUCGGUUUACCUUUAGUCUAAAAGUUCUCUAUGUUAUGUAAAUUGGUAGCAUCACAUAAAUUCAUACAAUUGCUUGAAAAUCAUUUUGUAAAGAUAAAUUUUUCUUCCAAGCGGAGAAAUCUUUUCUUUAGUAUUUAUACACUAUUGGUAAUUAAAUAUUAACUUUAGGAGAAUUGGAUUAAUAAUUAGGCUUCUUAAAAGUUAAAAUUUACCAGAAUAAUAUUUAAUUAUUAAUUUUUUUAAUUUUCUAUAAAAACAUUAUAAGAAGAUAGAGAUAAAAAUCAUAUCAAUCCAAAAUCUAUUAAAGGGAGCAAAAGAUAACAAAAUCCAUGAAAAAAAAAUAAUGAAUUUAAAAGAACUAAAGAACAAACUAAAAAAAUGGGAAAAAGAAAGGAGAAAUAGCUUCUGUCGGCCAACGAAGGCUAAGGCAACUCUUCAAAGCCAAGAUGAAAAGAGUCUGUUUUGAGGGAAAAAUAGAGAGAGAGAGAGAGAG